rnacentral:lncRNA from 1 species
UAUCAGUUUAAGCCAUGAGCUAAUGUGAAACUACUCGUGAACAAUUUAUAGGGUGAGAAGAAAAGCAGAAUGAGAAAUGAAUCCUGAAGAACAUCAAUGUUGAAUAGUGGAUAGAGGAGUACCCUCCUUUUAAGACUAAGAAUGAAAAAAAAAAUAUGAGUGAUAGCAAGAUAGUGGAACAUAGAAAGGAGGAAUACAUGUAGGACACUAACAAAUGCAACAGAUGACUCCCCUGCAGUAAAAAUCUUAAAAAGUUCCUUAGGAUGAGUCUUAGCAGGGUUAAGGAUAAUGAUUGUUGGAACAGAGAAGGCAUUAUGAAUCUGGACUGCAGUAGAAUCAGGAGUGAGGAGAGGAAAUGAAGCAAUUCUACAGAUCAAUCUUCAUGAACAAAUGGGUAGGAAAGAGAAAAGUUGGUAACUGUUGGGUCACCCAAAUGUUCUGUCUUUUUUUUUUUAAUUAUGUAAGACAAUUCAGACUUUUUUUUUUUAAAAAAAAGGAAAAUUUUAAGAAAAAAGGAGAGAUUAAUGAUAAAGGAGAAAAUUAAUUAAGAAUGGCCUCAGAGAAGAAGCAAGAAAUUAGGGUUAGGGUCCCUGGGGAAAAUACCAAAGAACAAUGAUCUGGAAGUACACACAAUAAUGUCGUAGCAUUGAGGGGUUAACAGAUCAAAAUCCUCAACUUGGCAGCCAAGAAUAUUUGUAAUUUGUCUCCAAUAAAUCACGAAGUCUCACUUCCACCACUUUUUUUCCCCACAAAUUCUUCCCCUCUUACACACAUUCUUCACAUUCUGCUUUAAUCUCCAGGGUACUAAGUCUUCAGAAAACACCAUGUACUUUCAUGCUUCCAUUAUGCAAUCUUUUUUACCUUUCUCUUUAACUGUCUAUCACCCCAAAUCAAUACUCUUACCCUAAGUUUUAGGUCUAGCAGCUGCUAUAACAGGAUAUCUUAGCUGUAUAAUUUAUGGAUAACAGAAAUGUAUUGCUGAAAGUUCUAGAGACUGGGGUUGAAGAUCAAAGCACCAACAGACUGAGAAAAUUUUUUUCCUUAUAGACAGCAGCUUCUAUGUGUCUCAUGUGGUGGAAGAGGAAAUGGAGCCCUUGAGACUAUUUUAUAAUGGAAAUUAACCAACUCAUGAAGAUGAAACCUCACGACCUAAUCACACCCCAAAACCCUCACUUCCUAAUACUGUCAUAUUGGAUGUUAGGUUCAAGCAUAUGAAUUUUGGGGGUUACCAAUACUGAUAGCACAGCCCACUCCUUCAUCUCAUACCUAUCCUCCUACCCAAAGUUCACAUGGGGAAAUAUUCUAAUCAUCCUCCAGGUCUUAUAAAAAUGUCUUCUCCAAUUAAUCAUCCAGAUGCAUGUGAAAAAUCAAUACUUCUUUUCCUCCAUUCUCAUAAAUUUGUUUACUAUUCUUUCCCAUGCCUGUAUACUUGGUUGGAAUGAGAUCUGAAUGAGGCUAAGAAUCAUACUGUAUUUCUAAACUCUUAAUGUCUGGUACAGUUGCCUAGAACAUGGAACUUUUUAUAUUUUGUUGGAUGAACACCUGUAACUUCCAUGUUAAAUAUGGAUGAUGUCUCCUUUUAAAAUGAUUCCUCUAAUUAUUUAGAUACAUUAUUCAGUUUGGGAACUUAAAAAGAUUCUUAAUAAUAUUCAGAAUCCCUUGGAGUUCUACUUGAUGGAUGCUCCUGUUUUGCAUUUUCUCAUAUUACUUUGUGAUAUUGAGUUGAAUAGCAGCCAUGGAUGUGUAAUUAGUAAAAUAUGCAAAUAUUUCAUGUCAUUAUACUUCAGCUUAGAAAUCAGAAUGAAUAAUUGUUUUAUUUAAUGUGUGUGGUUGUGCAAUUUUCUUCAAAUGUCUCUCCCCAUCAUGACCCUUACUGAGAAAAUUAAUUGUGUAUCUACAUUGACUGCUUCAUUCAUUCAUCAAACAUUUAUUACCAGGCAUAUAGGUAUCAGUAAGAAUAGAUCUUCAUUUCAGAGAAUGCAAUAGGAAAUAAAUGUAGAAAACCUUUUGCUUUAUUAGAACCUUUUAUUUAGAGAAAAAUGGAUUUCAUUUAUAGAUCAUUGUCUUGGAAUUUCUUUGUUGGAGAUUAUCCCCAGAUGGUUGGGGCUCCUCAUCUGGAGUUUCCUAAUCUUACUCUAAUUUUAGUGAAGGAGACAUGUAAGAUGGCAGAUUAUCUGUAGAGUGUUCUAUAUGCAAAGUAGGAGAAUUUUUCAACACUCAACUCUUCUGCAAGGGAUAAGGUAAGGUUCCUGUCUUUCUAAUCAAAUGGAUGCAAUACUAACAUGAUUGCGUCUGAUUUAGUACACAAUAGGCUACAUUUACUUUAUAAAAUAAGUGAGUAUCAUUGGCUUCCUAUUCAUGGAACUGACUGGAUAAGAAAAUCAGAAAAAAAUCUACCUUUACUUUCUUCUCUUUACAUAUGAAAGCUGGAUGCUUCUGUUUCUUAUGAUUACCUGGUAUUGGCUAACUUCACUUAGCAUUAUCUUCUCCAAUGCAUCCAUUUACCUGCAAAUGCCAUGAAUUUGUUCUUUUUCAAUGCUGAGUAAAAUUCCAUUGUGUAUAAAAACAAAUGCUGAAUGUUUUCUCUGAUAUAAGGGGGUUGACUCAUAGUGGGGUAGGGAGGGAGAACAUGGGAGGAUUAGAUUAAUUCUAUAUAGGGAAGAGGGGUGGGAGGGAAAGGGAGGGAGCAGGGGAUUAGCAAGGAUGGUGGAAUGUGAUGAACAUCAUUAUACAAAGUACAUGUAUGAAGACUUGAAUUGGGUGUCAACACACCUUAUAUACAAACAGAGAUAUGAAAAAUUGUGGUAUGUAUGUGUAUUAAGAAUUGUAAUGCAAAGAAGUACAUGUAUAAAGGCAUAAAUUGGUGUUUACAUACUUUAUAUACACAGAUAUGAAAAAUUGUGCUCUAUAUGUGUAAUAAGAAUUGUAAUGCAUUCCACUGUUGUCAUGC